GGUGUUUGUACUACAUUUAGGCGAAACUGGCAGACGAUAGUUUUAUCUUAUUCGGAAAUGUUUUAAUGUCAUGAUGAAAGGGCUUUUGCUGUUUAAUCAGAGCAGUGUUCUUUUAUUUAUUGACGCGGACCAGGAAUUUUUGGAAUCAGCUUACAAGAAGAGACUCCUUCAAGAGUUUAACAAUGACCAGGUUGCUGAACACAUGUAUGACCCUUAUGAUGCAGAACAAAUGUUUGUGCCUUUUUCUGCAUCACAGAAUGUAAUGAGCCAAACUUUGAAGAACCCUUAUGAAAAGAUUAUCUGUGAAAAUAAUUCCAUUACAGUUUCCAAACAGCUGGAUAAUAUAUUAUUUAUUGCUGUUAAUGGAGAUGGUACAGAAGAUGAACACUUCCUUAACAAGAAAAUUUUGGUCUUCCAUCGAAUAUUGAAAUUUCUUUAUGGUCCGGUAUUGAAACAAAUAAAACCAAAAAGAUUGCUUGAACAAAGAGAAAGACAGAAUUAUCUAACACACAUUCUUAGGACAUGGUGCCACCUUGUCCAAGAAGAGCAGUCCUUUCUAAUGGAGGCAGUUGAACAGUUGUAUGUUAACUCUGUGGUUAAUGAGAAAUCUUUAGAACUUCUCGAAAUGGUUGUGAAAAAAGUCAGUUCUGUAUCUUCUAUAAGUAACAACCAUGCACUUCUUUUGGUGCAUGGUAAGCUCCUUUCUCUUUAUUCUAGCAACAGUGCUUAUGAGUUACAGUCAGCCGAUAUCCUCACUAUUAUUCUUCUAGCAUGUGUUCAAUAUCCUUACAAUUCUGAACUACGAGCUGACAAUUUGCUAAGAAAACCUCAACCAGAACAACAACAACCACAACCAUCAUCAUCAUCACAUAGGCAAGAAGAGGAAGAACAACAAAGUGAGCAACAACAGCCGUCACCACAGCAACAAAAACAAGAACAACGUGAAUGUCAACAGCCAUCAUCACAACAAGAAGUUAAAGAACAACAAAGCAAGCAACAACAGCAAUCAUUACAGCAACACAAAGAUGAAGAACAACAAAGUGAGCAGCAACAGCAACCAUUACAGCAACAAGAAAAUGAAGAACACCAAAGCAAGCGACAUGAUGAACAAAAGCAUUCACUACAGCAACAAGAUGAACAACAGCAAUCACCACAGCAACAAGAAGAACAAGGAAGUGAGCAACGUCAGCAACCAUUGUCACCACAGCAACAAGAAAAUGAAGAACAGCAAAGUGAGCAACAGCAACAGCAACAGCAUCCAGUAAAACAAAAAAGUGAGGACAAUUUGCAAUCAGCUUCACCACAUGUUAGUCAAGAAACUGAGGUGCUAGAAACUUCUAGAACUCUUAGUGUUGUAUCAGAUGGUAGUCAAUCCCUUGGUCGUGACUCUGUUGACAAUACAGCUACUGAUCAAAGCAAAGAUGUUCAAAAGAGUUUUGGAAUCCAUGAAGCAUCAUGUAGUUGCUCAGAAGAUCUUGACAACUGUGAAGUAUCAUCAGCAGAUUUGCUAGCCGUCUCUAGCAGAAACAUCUCUGAUAAUGUACAGCAUAGUAGCAGCAGUAUUGAAGAGGAUAAUGAAAAUAUCAGUUCUCAGAGUACUUCUUAUAAUAUCAACAAAGCAAAUAUUGAGGCAAGCACUGAACCCAAACUAGCUUCUAGUGGUGCCAAGAAACAAUCAAGGAAACGUACUGGAACCACUGAAUCCAGCAGUCAGUCUACAAGUUCUAAAUCAAAACCAUUUCACACUUCCAUAAAACCAAUUCCUGUGUGUUUACAUACCUCUGCAUGUUUGUUUACGCCACAUCAAUUAUUCUGUAUAGAAGUGAUUCCUGGCAUUGUCUUGGUUAUUGUUUUAGAGCAAUGCCAUUCAAGUCAAUCUGGUUUAAUCUGCCAACUACAUGAUCUCCUCAAUGAUAUUACUUCUGGGAGCAGCAGAGGAGAACGACUUGUCCGAGGGGAUUGCCAGUAUACAUUUGAUGUUCUGGAUAUGUUGUUAAAGAAAGUCACUGGUUCCCGUGCAGGUCACAAUGACAUCAAGAAAAACAUAAAGAAGAACUGGGAAAAUGCUGUUCAAAAGGGACUGGAUCUUGUUCUUGAUAAGGGUAAUGUGAAGGACGUACCUGACAAAAUACUCAAUUCUUUGUCUGCAAUGUGUGACAGCUUAAAAGACCUCUUUCUCCAUAUGUUUAUCCAGAAAAGUGUUGUUAGUACAGCCAUGCAAGAAAUUUUGUUUUUGUGUAAACAGCGGAUUUUUAAAGAAUUAGUUGAUUAUAAGGACUAUCUGAUUGUGAAAGCAGAAAGAAACAUUGCCAUUACUUCAUCAGUUAUAUCCAAGACUUCCCAGGAAUGGUGUUCUUUAUAUUUGUUGACCGUACAACAAAUCAAGUCAUUGCUCCUGCACUAAAUAUAGAUCCUGAUGAUAAACCAGAAGCUUACAAGGCAACUUUGUUUCUGAAGAAAAAGAUUUGGAAAGUAGCUCAUUUCAUGCAACAGAAAUUAUCUCAAGGUUAUACGACAGUUCUGCUUAGAGAUGGAGACUUCUUCAUAUCUUAUUACUUGUGGUUUGAAGAUAACUCG
rnacentral:misc_RNA from 1 species